UAAAUAGUCAGGCUGGCUUUGGCUGGUCGCCGACUUCUUAGAGGGACUGUCAGUGUCUAACUGACGGAAGUUUGAGGCAAUAACAGGUCUGUGAUGCCCUUAGAUGUUCUGG
rnacentral:rRNA from 1 species